rnacentral:rRNA from 1 species
UACAUAGGUCGCGAGCGUUGUUCGGAUUCAUUGGGCGUAAAGGGUGCGUAGGUGGCGCUGUAAGUGGGGUGUGAAAUCCCGGGGCUUAACCCCGGGACUGCAUUCCAUACUGCGGUGCUUGAGGACUGGAGAGGAGACUGGAAUUUACGGUGUAGCAGUGAAAUGCGUAGAGAUCGUAAGGAAGACCAGUGGCGAAGGCGGGUCUCUGGACAGUUCCUGACACUGAGGCACGAAGGCCAGGGGAGCAAACGGG